rnacentral:rRNA from 1 species
AGCCAUGCAUGUCUAAGUAUAAGCAAUUAUACAGCGAAACUGCGAAUGGCUCAUUAUAUAAGUUAUCGUUUAUUUGAUAGUACCUUACUACUUGGAUAACCGUGGUAAUUCUAGAGCUAAUACAUGCUAAAAAUCCCGACUUCGGAAGGGAUGUAUUUAUUAGAUUAAAAACCAAUGCCCUCUGGGCUCCUUGGUGAUUCAUAAUAACUUUUCGAAUCGCAUGGCCUUGCGCCGGCGAUGGUUCAUUCAAAUUUCUUCCCUAUCAACUUUCGAUGUUUGGGUAUUGGCCAAACAUGGUCGCAACGGGUAACGGAGGGUUAGGGCUCGACCCCGGAGAAGGAGCCUGAGAAACGGCUACUACAUCCAAGGAAGGCAGCAGGCGCGCAAAUUACCCAAUCCCGAUUCGGGGAGGUAGUGACAAUAAAUACUGAUACAGGGCUCUUUUGGGUCUUGUAAUUGGAAUGAGUACAAUUUAAAUCCCUUAACGAGGAACAAUUGGAGGGCAAGUCUGGUGCCAGCAGCCGCGGUAAUUCCAGCUCCAAUAGCGUAUAUUAAAGUUGUUGUGGUUAAAAAGCUCGUAGUUGAACCUUGGGCCUGGCUGGCCGGUCCGCCUCACCGCGUGUACUGGUCCGGCCGGGCCUUUCCCUCUGUGGAACCUCAUGCCCUUCACUGGGUGUGGCGGGGAAACAGGACUUUUACUUUGAAAAAAUUAGAGUGCUCCAGGCAGGCCUAUGCUCGAAUACAUUAGCAUGGAAUAAUGAAAUAGGACGUGUGGUUCUAUUUUGUUGGUUUCUAGGACCGCCGUAAUGAUUAAUAGGGACAGUCGGGGGCAUCAGUAUUCAAUUGUCAGAGGUGAAAUUCUUGGAUUUAUUGAAGACUAACUACUGCGAAAGCAUUUGCCAAGGAUGUUUUCAUUAAUCAGGAACGAAAGUUAGGGGAUCGAAGACGAUCAGAUACCGUCGUAGUCUUAACCAUAAACUAUGCCGACUAGGGAUCGGACGAUGUUAUUUUU